AUCACAUCUCAGACACACAUGGACUUUUUGCCACCUAAUUCGUUCGCCAAUCUAUCAACAUUUGGGCUAAUAUAUGAUUCCUCUGAACAUCAUCCAGCACCACCUGUUCUCUCUCACAGUGUUGGUCACACUGGAUGCAUCAGCACAGAUUCUGACAACUGGUCAAAGCUAUAUUCACAAUCUCCUGCUCUUUGCCAUUUCCUUUAAUUGAGGAAGACUCCAGCGUUCCAAAUGAGGCUGUUGUAAUCCUCAUUUCCCAGGUGAAGCCAGCUCACAGCAAUGUUCUCUGCAAGGACCCCCACUGUGAGGUACCCUAAAAGAAACGUGUCAAUCGU